rnacentral:tRNA from 1 species
CGGGUGAGUGGGCGAGCUUGACGCCGCCGGCCUUGCCGCGGCCGCCGGUCUUCACCUGGGCCUUGACGACCACGGUGCCGCCGCCGAGCUUCUCGGC